AACCUGCCUCAUAGAGGGGGACAACAGUUGGAAACGACUGCUAAUACCGCAUAGUAAGAAGGAUUCGCAUGUUUUCUUCUUGAAAGAUUUAUCGCUAUGAGAUGGACCCGCGUCUGAUUAGCUAGUUGGUAAGGUAACGGCCUACCAAGGCGACGAUCAGUAGCCGGCUUGAGAGAGUGAACGGCCACAUUGGGACUGAGAUACGGCCCAGACUCCUACGGGAGGCAGCAGUGGGGAAUAUUGGGCAAUGGGCGCAAGCCUGACCCAGCAACGCCGCGUGAAGGAAGAAGGCUUUCGGGUUGUAAACUUCUUUUAAGAGGGAAGAGUAGAAGACGGUACCUCU
rnacentral:rRNA from 1 species